AUCUAGCCCCGAUAGAGGCGCUAUCCUUGUGUAGUUUACGGAACAAGAUAAAGCCGAAAGCGGGAAUUAUG
rnacentral:sRNA from 1 species